AUUGAACGCUGGCGGCAUGCCUUACACAUGCAAGUCGAACGGCAGCACGGGUGCUUGCACCUGGUGGCGAGUGGCGAACGGGUGAGUAAUACAUCGGAACAUGUCCUGUAGUGGGGGAUAGCCCGGCGAAAGCCGGAUUAAUACCGCAUACGAUCUACGGAUGAAAGCGGGGGACCUUCGGGCCUCGCGCUAUAGGGUUGGCCGAUGGCUGAUUAGCUAGUUGGUGGGGUAAAGGCCUACCAAGGCGACGAUCAGUAGCUGGUCUGAGAGGACGACCAGCCACACUGGGACUGAGACACGGCCCAGACUCCUACGGGAGGCAGCAGUGGGGAAUUUUGGACAAUGGGCGAAAGCCUGAUCCAGCAAUGCCGCGUGUGUGAAGAAGGCCUUCGGGUUGUAAAGCACUUUUGUCCGGAAAGAAAUCCUUGGCUCUAAUACAGUCGGGGGAUGACGGUACCGGAAGAAUAGGCACCGGCUAACUACGUG
rnacentral:rRNA from 1 species